rnacentral:rRNA from 1 species
CCCGAAGCAAAAAGAGUCAGUCAGUGUCGCGGUCAGUGUAACAAAACUGUCGUUAACACUGGUUAGAGGUGACAUGCUAUUCAAUUUUUGUAUAUCUGGUUUUGCUUUUUUUAAUUUAAUUUAAUAGUAGAUUAAAAUAUAUCUAUUUAUGUCCCCCAGGGGGGAAAGCUCCUUGGUGCCAGCUAGUUAGUGGCAUUUAAAGUAGGCUUGAUACCUUUCUCUGCGAGUGGUAAAAUUUUAACUAAGCUGGAGUCUAAGCAUACUUGGAACCUUUUCUGACUGGAGACAAUAAAUAUAUUAGUAAUUUAAUUUUUAUAAAAACUUAUAGAUUCAUUAUAAUUUAAUUAUUGGAUGCGCGGUAAUAGAACUCGGCAAAACUAGUUUCGCAUGUUUAACAAAAACAUCUCUUGGUAACUUCUAGGUAAUCUCUGCCCUAUGAGUAGUUUAAAUGGCCGCAGUAUUUUGACUGUGCAAAGGUAGCAUAAUCACUUGUUUCUUAAUUAGGGGCUGGAAUGAAAGAGGCGACGAAAUCUAGACUAUUUAGAUUUUUAGGUAAAUUGACAAGUAGGUCAAAAGGCCCACAUAAACCAGGGGGACGAUAAGACCCUGUAAAACUUUACUUUUAGCGUAUUUGCUUAAUGGGGUGCCUUUACAGUUGAGAGUUAGGCUGGGGCGGUGCUUAUAAAAACAAUUAGACAUAUAAUAUAUUAAAUAGUGUGUUAGAGCUCUUUUAAGAAAUAGAACAAGUUACUUUAGGGAUAACAGCGUAAUUCUCCCAGAGAGUCCUAAUUGGCGGGGGAGCUUACGACCUCGAUGUUGAAUUGGGAAACCGUGUGUAAGCAAAAAUAUGCAAAGACAGUCUGUUCGACUGGUAAGUUCCCACAUGAUUUGAGUUCAGACCGGCGCAAGCCAGGUUGGUUUCUAUCUCUUGGUUGUUAAAGAUCAAAAUUGUACGAAAGGACCAUUUGGU